UACGGGGGGGGUAAGCGUUGUCCGGAUUUAUUGGGCGUAAAGGGCGUGUAGGCGGCCAGGUAGGUCCGUUGUGAAAACUCGAGGCUCAACCUCGAGACGUCGGCGGAAACCCUCUGGCUAGAGUCCGGAAGAGGAGAGUGGAAUUCCUGGUGUAGCGGUGAAAUGCGCAGAUAUCAGGAAGAACACCCGUGGCGAAGGCGGCUCUCUGGGACGGUACUGACGCUGAGACGCGAAAGCGUGGGGAGCAAACAGG
rnacentral:rRNA from 1 species